GUGCGCUCGCGUCGGCCCUUGAAAAUCCGAGUGAGAGAGUGUGAUUUUCGUGCCGGACCGUACCACAUCCGCAGCAGGUCUCAAGGUGAACAGCCUCUAGUCGAUGGACCAAUGUAGGUAAGGGAAGUCGGCAAAACGGAUCCGUAACCUUGGGAUAAGGAUUGGCUCUGAGGACUGAGCCGGUCGGGCUGGGGACCUGAAGCAGGAACGGCACUGCACCGGGACUGGGCGGGGCUCGCCGUUCACGCGGCGCGGCCAAGCCCGGACCAGCGUCGGGACCUUCCUGUGGAAAGCCUCAGCUGCGCGGCGUCUGAGGGCUUCGUGCCCAAAGUGCUAUGCUUCGGCCGGCAAAAAACAGUCAACUCAGAACUGGCACGGACCGGGGGAAUCCGACUGUCUAAUUAAAACAAAGCAUUGCGAUGGCCGCUGGUCGGUGUUGACGCAAUGUGAUUUCUGCCCAGUGCUCUGAAUGUCAACGUGAAGAGAUUCAUCAAAGCGCGGGUAAACGGCGGGAGUAACUAUGACUCUCUUGGAGUAACUAUGACUCUACGUCCCGGACAAAGAGGGCCUGAGGUCCCACCCUCACGUCAUGAAGGUCAAAGCCGAGGAAGAAGGAUUUGGAGGUUUUGGAGUAACCUAAAAAGGAGUUUGUUGGGAUGACGGAGCGUGGAGAACGAUGGAAUUGAUUAAAUCACCUAGUGUGAGAUGCGGAGAGGACGGUCUUUCUGAAGACCGCCGCAUGCGGCAGCAAAAGGAGGAAGGCAUGACGCCUGGCCGCUCGCUCAUGGCCAAUACCAGUGGUCAGAGCUUAGAAGGGCAUACCCCUAUGUGGUUAUAAAUACCACUUUAGGGGACUCGCACCGGUGAGUGCGUGUAAAGAGCGUGUGGCGGAAACGCCCACAAUGUCGGUCUAGGGAAAGCAUGUUGGGAUAGCAUGCCGGGACCGGGGUGAAGGUGGGUUGAAAAAAAAAAAAAAAGCCAAAUGCCUCGUCAUCUAAUUGCAGUCACUUAGUUUUGCCUCGGCCGCGCUUGUCUCGCGUGCCGAGUUCCAACCGGUUGUUUCUUCGGACGGGUCUACACGUGUAUGAGACUGCUGUGUGCACCCGGACAACACCCCAAACCCCCCGCUGCCCUUGGAAGGGUACCAAGGCCACGUCGCACAAUUCAGCACAUCUCCAAAACCCGUGAGCAGUCAACUGUUGUGGCCUCUUUCACCCCACAACCGCUCGUUUUCGACUGCCGGAGAUAGUGCUUGGUGCUUGUGGGUCGUUCGGUGCUACCCCGAAAGUGUUUUCUUUUUUUUCUUCUUUUUAGUCUCAGUGCGUUGAACCGCGCACGGCUGACACUGGUUCCACUGCCUUAUUUUUUUUUUCCUCUUUAAGGCAGC
rnacentral:ncRNA from 1 species